GCUUGAUCUUGCCUUCCCAAAGGCCAAGAGUCCAUGAGGGCAGAUGGGAGGGAAACGGGGAGCCGGAGGCUGAGGACAGAAGGGCAGGCAGGAGGAAGAAAAGAGGAAGGCGCUCAGGAGGAGGAAGACUACGACAGGGGAGUGGGCCCGGGCAGUCCCAAAGGGAGCUGAGUCAGAAUGACAGGUGGAGGCGCUGCUGCACCCAGAACCCCGGUUUCUGUGGCCGCGUUCCGAAGGCGGCUGGAUGUUCUGUCUCAGGAUCCCUCGCCCGGGCCGCUCGCGACCUUCGGGAAUCACGCUGAUGCGUUGACUCUAGCGUCCCCCACCCGGAGCGAGCUGGCUGCUUUUCUGCAGCCGAUCGGCGCCGGCGCCUCCAGGCUGACUCCGGGUCCCACUUAGGCAUAUAUAUGCCCCGGCCGGGAGGAACCCCUAACGCCGCGAUCCAGCCACUCUGAAGGGCCUUUUUCUAGCUCUGAGCCUCAGUUUACCCCCAACUUCCGUGCCUGCCUCCUCCCGUGCCCGUUUUAGAGGUCAGCUGUAAGGGCUUGAUAAGUGCGCGUAGAAAAAGCUUACUCUUCCUUCUUGAAA